rnacentral:lncRNA from 1 species
GCUCUGCUGUCAUUGCUGUGCUUUCCAUGGCAUUACAGUGUUAUACCAGUUACUGACACUUCAGCAGGCUGGUGUCAUCCGUAUAAAGAACAAAACAGGAAUGAUGUUGCAUUCAGACACACUUACGUGUUUUGCUCUAUGGUUGACAGCACGCCGUUGGCCUCGCGGGAGAACCGCAUCGCAUCUCUCGUCCGAGAAGAUAAGAUUUGUGUUCCCUAUCAGCGUCCCCCGGUUUCUGCAUGAAAACCAAGCAUGCAUCACAGCUGGCAAACAAGGCAAAAGAAGAUGCAUAAGGGUACCUGAAAUGAAGCAGCUUCAAGGGAGCAGAGGAUGAAGAGCAGAUCUCCAAGCAUUAGAGGAGCAAAGCAGCAAGCCUCCCCACUCAAGAGCAUUAUUUCAAGCUCCAGCUCCUGGAACAGAAUAGCAUUACCAUGCACCCAAAGACCUCAAGCUGCUGGUAAGCUAUUGCUGGUGGCCAGAGAUGUUAGAUACUCACAAGCAUGUUCUCUUCUCCUGCAGACAUUUGAAAUCUACCACUUCUGUUUCCACCUCAAGCUUACCACAGACAGAAGGGGAACCACACCACUCUGAGCAGCAGCAGCAGCUUAAAUCCUUGGUCUCGCACGGGGAGCCCCUACAAGAAGGAGGCAGCGCUUAAUAAGAUUAGCAAAUGUUUAAGUCUGAGCAAAUAAAGAUAGCAAGUUGUUUCUCA